GUCGGGAGGCCGGAUCCUGGGCUGUGUCCCGGCGCCCUGUGCUCCCGGGCCUGCGCUGUUGGAUUCGCGCUCCCGCCCCGCAGCCCCCU
rnacentral:pre_miRNA from 1 species